rnacentral:rRNA from 1 species
GAUGAACGCUAGCGGCAGGCCUAACACAUGCAAGUCGAGGGGUAACAGGGAGUGCUUGCACUCUGCUGACGACCGGCGCACGGGUGCGUAACGCGUAUGCAACCUACCUUCUACAGGGGGAUAGCCCAGAGAAAUUUGGAAUAAUACCCCAUACGAUCUUUACUUGGCAUCGAGUAAAGAAGAAAACUUCGGUGGUAGAAGAUGGGCAUGCGUCCUAUUAGUUAGUUGGUGAGGUAACGGCUCACCAAGACAUCGAUAGGUAGGGGCCCUGAGAGGGGGAUCCCCCACACUGGUACUGAGACACGGACCAGACUCCUACGGGAGGCAGCAGUGAGGAAUAUUGGACAAUGGAGGCAACUCUGAUCCAGCCAUGCCGCGUGCAGGAAGACUGCCCUAUGGGUUGUAAACUGCUUUUAUACAGGAAGAAACUGCGCUACGUGUAGCGUACUGACGGUACUGUAAGAAUAAGGAUCGGCUAACUCCG